UCCAGUCAGUCAAUCUCCAUGUUCUUUUGGAGACUAUGUACCGGACCGAGAAGAUGUUUUAUUCAAAUAAGCAAACGCCCUUUUAAUAUGGGGGCUUACCUCACAUCAGGCUCUGCGGUAGCAGCAUGCAGUGGCAGUCUCCCAUUUUUAUCAGCAUUCUAAUAUUGAAGGAUCUUCACGAAUCACUGCAGUCAGUGUGUUGACGUCGCCAUUAGCAGCUGCUUGGUAAACCACAGUCAGGUCAAUUUCUUCUGCUGAAUCACCUAGAGACAGAUACAUUUAAACAUGUCACUAGAAGGUAACUGACAGAUUGAGAAAUUGUGUCAAAAAGGGGACUAAUACCGCAGUCAGGUAAUAUAUCACCCUUUUCAUCUCCUUUUGUAAGUUGUUUACAGUAUCAGCUUGUGGAUUUUUAUUGUACAUUGGGGGUCACAUUCUCAGAUGGAGUGAACAGACUGUGAUGGUGCAACACCAA